rnacentral:rRNA from 1 species
UGAGGAAUAUUGGUCAAUGGGCGGGAGCCUGAACCAGCCAAGCCGCGUGAGGGAAGAAGGCCCUAUGGGUCGUAAACCUCUUUUGACAGGGAACAAAAGCGAGUAUGUAUACUAGUCUGAGUGUACCUGAAGAAAAAGCAUCGGCUAACUCCGUGCCAGCAGCCGCGGUAAUACGGAGGAUGCGAGCGUUAUCUGGAUUUAUUGGGUUUAAAGGGUGCGUAGGCGGCGAUGCAAGUCAGCGGUAAAAGCCCGGGGCUCAACCCCGGCGAGCCGUUGAAACUGCAGUGCUAGAGAAGGCGAGAGGUACGCGGAAUGCGCAGUGUAGCGGUGAAAUGCUUAGAUAUUGCGCAGAACUCCGAUUGCGAAGGCAGCGUACUGGCGCCUGACUGACGCUGAGGCACGAAAGCGUGGGGGAUCGAACAGGAUUAGAUACC